AGAGUUUGAUCCUGGCUCAGGAUGAACGUUGGCGGUGUGCCUAAUACAUGCAAGUCGAACGGAGACUGUAGCAAUACUGUCUUAGUGGCGAACGGGUGAGUAACGCGUUGGUGAUCUGCCUCGAAGUGUGGAAUAACCUCCCGAAAGGGAAGCUAAUACCGCAUAGUCUCUCAAGGUUUAGAAAAUUGAGAGUAAAGGAUUUAUUCGCUUCGAGAGGAGCCUGCGUCCCAUCAGCUAGUUGGUAGGGUAACGGCCUACCAAGGCAAUGACGGGUAGGGGACCUGAGAGGGUGGCCCCCCACAAUGGAACUGAAACACGGUCCAUACACCUACGGGUGGCAGCAGUAGGGAAUAUUAGAAAUGGGCGGAAGCCUGAUCUAGCAACACCGCGUGUGCGAUGAAGGCCUUCGGGUCGUAAAGCACUUUUUGGAGGGAAUAGGAAGGAAGGUACCUCCAGAAUAAGUCUCGGCUAACUACGUGCCAGCAGCCGCGGUAACACGUAGGAGGUAAACGUUAUCCGGAUUCACUGGGUGUAAAGGGCGUGUAGGCGGGUAUGCAAGUCAGAUGUGAAAUACCGGGGCUCAACUCCGGGGUUGCAUUUGAAACUGUAUAUCUUGAGUGCAAGAGAGGGAAGUGGAAUUCCUAGUGUAGCGGUGAAAUGCGUAGAUAUUAGGAAGAAUACCAGUGGCGAAGGCGACUUUCUGGACUUAUACUGACGCUGAGGAACGAAAGCGUGGGGAGCAAACAGGAUUAGAUACCCUGGUAGUCCACGCCGUAAACGAUGAGUGCUAGGUGUCGGGUGUCAAAGCUCGGUGCCGGAGCUAACGCAUUAAGCACUCCGCCUGGGGAGUACGUACGCAAGUAUGAAACUCAAAGGAAUUGACGGGGACCCGCACAAGCAGCGGAGCAUGUGGUUUAAUUCGAAGCAACGCGAAGAACCUUACCAGGACUUGACAUGCCCUUGCCCGUUCUAGAGAUAGAACCUUAUCUUCGGAUACAAGGGACACAGGUGGUGCAUGGUUGUCGUCAGCUCGUGUCGUGAGAUGUUGGGUUAAGUCCCGCAACGAGCGCAACCCUUGUCUUUAGUUGCUAACAGCUAGGCUGAGCACUCUAGAGAGACUGCCGAUGAGAAAUCGGAGGAAGGUGGGGAUGACGUCAAAUCAUCAUGCCCUUUAUGUCCUGGGCUACACACGUGCUACAAUGGUCGGUACAACGAGGAGCAACACAGCGAUGUGAAGCAAAUCUCUUAAAGCCGAUCCCAGUUCGGAUUGCAGGCUGCAACUCGCCUGCAUGAAGUCGGAGUUGCUAGUAAUCGCGAAUCAGAAUGUCGCGGUGAAUGCGUUCCCGGGUCUUGUACACACCGCCCGUCACACCAUGGGAGUUGGAAAUGCCCGAAGCCAGUGAGCCAACCGUAAGGAGGCGGCUGUCGAAGGUAGGGUCAAUGACUAGGGUGAAGUCGUAACAAGGUA
rnacentral:rRNA from 1 species